rnacentral:lncRNA from 1 species
CUCUCCCAGUCAACAGCUGCAAGGUACCAGAUUGGCACGAAGCAGGUCCCUGUGCGAAGUGCUGGGGAAUGGGAGAUGAAUAAAGCAUGGCUUUUCUCCUUAAGGAUUGACUCCUCGUUAAGAAGACACGAGUGGAAGGAACUUACAGUGCCGUGGAGAAAAUAACGCAAGGAGCUCGAGAGCAAGGAGGCAGGGAGUGAGGACUCUUCUGAUACAAGUGACACCAUGGAGAGGCAUCUGGAGGACAGAAGAAGGAAACACUGCUGAUGGAGUGGCGUGUGCAAGUAGCUGAAGAGAGACCUAAGUCAACUGACUCAAUGAAGAUGAGUUCAUACAACGUAAAUCAGGAGAAGAUGUGGAUUUUAAGCGUGGGUCUUUGAGUGUUCAAAUUGGUCUGGGCUUCAUAUAAUGUCAAAUAUCUAGCAAGGAAAUUAAAUUUUACUUUCAAAAUCUUACUUCCAACAUUUCCCUACAUUUGUCCCUUUGUGUACUGGAACUGAACAUUUUGAUUUUUGCCAGUGUUUUCAAUGCUCUGUGGACUUGACCUCUGUAUCCUGCCAAUAUUUUCUUUUCUUCUUCUUUUUUUUAAAGUUCUUUGACUUUAUUGUUAUAUAUC